CAUUUCUUUUUUUUUUCUUUUUUCCCGAAAGAAUGUAUUCUUUUUGUCAACAGGGGAGAAAAACAAUUAAAAGAACUUGAAAAAAUCUGCCCUCAUAGGGUGCACAUUCUAACAGAUGGGAAGUGGAUUUAUGUUUCUGAUUUCUCGGUGGACACAGCCAGCAGGCUGGGUGCAGUUCUGAAUCUCUGUUGGAAGACAUGGCCCCCAUCAGUUUUCAAUCUGUGACAAUCUGGGAACAGAGAACCAGAGACGGAAGUAGAACCUGAUGAUCUUUGACCCUCAAGAUCUUGCACAAUCACAGCAUUAUGCACCUGCAAAACUGGAGAUGAUAACUGUCACGAUAAUUAUGACUUGCCAGGGAGGGAGGCGUGUUAUGGAAUGUCAAAGUCGUGUCCAGGCAGAGUAGGCUGAGGAAUGAUGGCUUCAUGUCUGCCUGUCUUUCUCUACCUUUGCACCCACCAGCCUAGCUUGGGCCUCUUCACUUCAUUCCUGGGCUUCUAUCAUGGUUUCCAGGAAUCUCCUAAACUGAAGACCUCCUCUGCAACAAUCCGCUUAGCCUAGGAUGGCUAGAUUACACUCCCAACACAAAGUUUUGUGCAUGCUGCCUCUCACUCAAACACUUAAACAAAAUUCCAGAUCAUUAUCUUGGCAUCCAAAGCCCUCUCUAGUGUUGCCCCAUCUACCCUUUUAAUCUUAUCACUGAGUCACUCUCUACAUCUGUCUCCUUGGUCCCACCAAAGUGGACCUCUUUGCCCCCAACCCGCCUUGCUCAUUCCAGGCUCUGCCUCUGACAUAGUUCAAUAGAAACGACAUAAAUUUUAGGGUAAAAAAACUUAAUUUUUUAUCUUUCUCGUAUAAAGCAUGUGACUUUGGACAAGCCACUUAAUCUCUCUGAGCUAUAAUUUUCCCCUCUGAAAAAGGAUCUAGUCAUAUGUGUGUGUGUG
rnacentral:lncRNA from 1 species